rnacentral:rRNA from 1 species
UCCAGACUCCUACGGGAGGCAGCAGUGAGGAAUAUUGGUCAAUGGUCGGGAGACUGAACCAGCCAAGUCGCGUGAGGGAUGACGGCCCUACGGGUUGUAAACCUCUUUUGCCGGGGAGCAAAGAGCGGGACGCGUCCCGCCUCGAGAGUACCCGGAGAAAAAGCAUCGGCUAACUCCGUGCCAGCAGCCGCGGUAAUACGGAGGAUGCGAGCGUUAUCCGGAUUUAUUGGGUUUAAAGGGUGCGUAGGCGGGAUGCCAAGUCAGCGGUAAAAAUGCGGUGCUCAACGCCGUCGAGCCGUUGAAACUGGCGUCCUUGAGUGGGCGAGAAGUAUGCGGAAUGCGUGGUGUAGCGGUGAAAUGCAUAGAUAUCACGCAGAACUCCGAUUGCGAAGGCAGCAUACCGGCGCUCAACUGACGCUCAUGCACGAAAGCGUGGGUAUCGAACAGGAUUAGAUACCCCUGUA